rnacentral:rRNA from 1 species
GAUGAACGCUGGCGGCGUGCCUAAUACAUGCAAGUCGAGCGAACAGACGAGGAGCUUGCUCCUUUGACGUUAGCGGCGGACGGGUGAGUAACACGUAGGUAACCUACCUAUAAGACUGGGAUAACUUCGGGAAACCGGAGCUAAUACCGGAUAAUAUUUCGAACCGCAUGGUUCGAUAGUGAAAGAUGGCUUUGCUAUCACUUAUAGAUGGACCUGCGCUGUAUUAGCUAGUUGGUAAGGUAACGGCUUACCAAGGCAACGAUACGUAGCCGACCUGAGAGGGUGAUCAGCCACACUGGAACUGAGACACGGUCCAGACUCCUACGGGAGGCAGCAGUGGGGAAUCUUCCGCAAUGGGCGAAAGCCUGACGGAGCAACGCCGCGUGAGUGAUGAAGGUCUUCGGGUCGUAAAACUCUGUUGUUAGGGAAGAACAACCGUGUAAGUACCUGUGCACGUCUUGACGGUACCUAAUCAGAAAGCCACGGCUAACUACGUG